rnacentral:rRNA from 1 species
UGGAUGAUGUGGUUAAUUCGAUGCAACGCGAAAACCUUUACCACCUUUGACAUGUACGGAAUCCUUUAGAGAUAGAGGAGUGCUCGAAAGAGAGCCGUAACACAGGGUGCUGCAUGGCUGUCGUCAGCUCGUGUCGUGAGAUGUUGGGUUAAGUCCCCGCAACGAGCGCAACCCUUUGUCAUUAGUUGCUACAUUCAGUUGGGCACUCUAAUGAGACUGCCGGUGACAAACCGGAGGAAGUGGGGAUGACGUCAAGUCCUCAUGGCCCUUAUAGGUGGGGCUACACACGUCAUACAAUGGAUGGUACAAAGGGUCGCCAACCCGCGAGGGGGAGCCAAUCCCAUAAAGCCAUUCGUAGUCCGGAUCGCAGUCUGCAACUCGACUGCGUGAAGUCGGAAUCGCUAGUAAUCGUGGAUCAGAAUGUCACGGUGAAUACGUUCCCGGGUCUU